CAUACAACACAUCUGUGAUGAUAGCCUCUUUGCCAUCCUUCCUCUUCACCAUGAUGCUUCCAAUGCCCUCAGAAUUCACUUGACUAUUGUCUGCAAAUCUGAUUCCUCUAGAACUAGAUUCAUCCAGAUCUACAAACCAACCUCUGUUUCCAGUCAUGUGGUUGCUGCAACCUGUGUCUAGGUACCACACAUUUGAUGUGUCAUCAUCCAAUUGUGUUGUAGCCAUCAACAUUGCAUCAUCUGAGUCACUUUCUGCCAGCUGAGCCUCAUCUUU
rnacentral:lncRNA from 1 species